UCCUGCAACAAAGAAAAAUGAAUCAGUGAGAAGAAGAUGAAGAAAAGAGAAGAAGCCACAACGAAGAAGAAGAAAUGUUUUGAAGAGAGUCAACGACAAAGAAGGAAGCAAAGUCAACCUAAGGAUAUGUUGGGCUUUGUGUGGUUUAGGACAAGAUUAAUGGGCUGCAAUUAAUAAGGCCCAAAGAAGAUUGUGUGUGUUUGUUGGUAUAAACUAUAAAGUGUAGACCAAGAACCAAAGUAGAGUUGUUGUGUAAGAGUAAAUUAAGGAGUUGGAGUUCCAACAUAGUAGAGUGGUUGAUGUAAGUCGUAGGAUAAUAAUGUCUAGAAGUAUGGUUAAAAAGUAUGGUGCAUGUGUGAGGUGCAAAUAGAAGAUAUGUGUAUGUGUGUUGUAAGAAAUAUACCCAAGC
rnacentral:lncRNA from 1 species